GUGAAGCCUCAAUGAAAACACGGCCCUUGAAACCAGAAAGUCCUGGUACCUUGAUGGAUUGUUUCCAACCCUGAGAACGACAGCUUUAAAGUUUGCAAUAAGAAACAACAAAAUGGAAAGUCAUGAGGCAAGGAUGAACAGCAACAGCCUCCUGUCUCCUUCACUGUCUGAACAAAACGAAGGGACGCAGCAACAGGAGAUUCAAAAUACCAGAUGAAGACAGGUCCUCUACUGGGAGCUUCCGGGCCUCUGGAAUGAGGAACAUAAUUUCCGCUCCGGAGAAGGCUUAUACAAACUCAGGACUGGGAUUACAUCAGAUGCAGUGAGACCACAAAUAUUACUUCUGAGAGGGCUGACGGAGUCCUGCAUGUGAGAACGUUCCACUGAGGACAAGCUUUCCUAACUGCAAGGCCAGUCCCUGGGUGCAAGCACUCCCACCACUCUGGGGUUUGCUCCAGGCAGUCACAAUACUCUGUACAAGUCAAGCUCACCCUGGGAGUAGCAGCUACAUCACUUUGCAUUUGUAAAGAAAACUUUUUUC